GACGAACGCUGGCGGCGUGCCUAAUACAUGCAAGUAGAACGCUGAAGGAGGAGCUUGCUUCUCUGGAUGAGUUGCGAACGGGUGAGUAACGCGUAGGUAACCUGCCUGGUAGCGGGGGGUAACUAUUGGAAACGAUAGCUAAUACCGCAUAAGAGUAGAUGUCGCAUGACAUUUGCUUAAAAGGUGCAAUUGCAUCACUACCAGAUGGACCUGCGUUGUAUUAGCUAGUUGGUGAGGUAACGGCUCACCAAGGCAACGAUACAUAGCCGACCUGAGAGGGUGAUCGGCCACACUGGGACUGAGACACGGCCCAGACUCCUACGGGAGGCAGCAGUAGGGAAUCUUCGGCAAUGGACGGAAGUCUGACCGAGCAACGCCGCGUGAGUGAAGAAGGUUUUCGGAUCGUAAAGCUCUGUUGUAAGAGAAGAACGAGUGUGAGAGUGGAAAGUUCGCACUGUGACGGUAUCUUACCAGAAAGGGACGGCUAACUACGUG
rnacentral:rRNA from 1 species